UGGAAACGCAUCACGUGCACCAAUGUUUUCAACAGAGCUUGUGUGUCACCAUCCUACUUACGAUUUUUAAUGUUAUUCAUUGUUAGUCAAAAGGUCAUUUGUUGUUUUUUGAGCUAUAUUUUUGGACUUCAAGAUCAUUCUUUCAGCGUUCAAGCCAAUCAAGAUGUGAAGCAAAAAGCUCGUAAGAAAAGGUGCAAGUCCUCCUCAACCGUUAACCAGAUCCCACUCUCUCUUCUUUUAAUCAUAGAUGGCUUCUUAUAGCUGGUUGUUUUGGAGUGUUCCCUGACAUGAUUCUAUUGAUGGCAAGCUCUUUGUUUGCUCCAGGCUGUCUUGCAUGAUGUCUUUCAGCUUGUUGGUUAGUCUCACGAAUCAGCCGCCCUUCCUAGGUCUCUCCUUAGGAAGGGCGGCUAAUUCAUGAGACUGGCAUGCAAUUAACACAACGGCAAUUAGAGACCUAAUGAGCAAAGGUUAAGUGCUUCGCGCCUCCUCUGAGUCUAUCCUAUACAUAUCUGCACAGUCGGUGAUGAGUCGCUUCCUGUGCAAUUUGAAUGUAAAACGCUGAUGUCAGCAUUUAUUAAAAAGCAAUAAUUCUUUACAGUGAUAUUAUACAGUGCGAUAGUAGUGGUAUAUUUAAAAUAAAGCUAUAGAAUCACUGAAAGCUUGGACCAUUUAAGGAACAGCUUGGUAAUUAUAUAUAUACAUGGUUAUAUUAUACAUGGUAUGUACGUGUAUUAGCUAUACAUUUGUAACACGGACAGAGAAAAUGAAAGGUGCAGAGAUUGUUCGGGUCGAAGUUCUCGAUAAAAUGUUUCCACAGGUAUUUUGUAAGGUGUGUUUUGUUUGUGUUCAACGAUGACUCUAGUUCCAAAACACCUCUUGGGAGCGCAUUCCAGAGCCGGGCUAUACGGAUGAAAAAGAAAUUUCUCGUAGUCGUUAGCCUCACGAAUUUGUGCUCCAGUUUGACACCAUUUGCUCUUGUCCUAUUAUUAACAAACUUAAUGUACUUGUUCAAGUCAUUUGCGUCAGAUGUGUCUUUCAGAUUCCUGAUUAGCAGCAUUAUGUCUUGAUUUCAAGCCAGUACAUGAGCGGUAGAGUCCUAAGCUCAAGAAGUCGAGAUUUAUAGUUAUUUGAGUAGUCAUUCAGAAUAUACUUCGUUGCUUUACGCUGUAUUCUUUCUAGACUUUGAAUAUGUUUUAUAAGUUGCGGCCGCCACAAUUGACAGCAGUAAGAUAUUUGGGAUUUCACCAGUGAGCAAUAUAGUAUUUUCUUCAGUUGUAUGGGUGAGUGGGAGGGAGGUAUAUUUCUUCUGAUAACAUAGAGCGCUUGGUAGGCUUUGGAGCAGAUAAGGUCAAAAUGCUCGCUCCACGAUAGGCUAUUUGAAACUAUUACACCUAGGUCUUGAUUGCAUAAUUAUACCUCGUUAUAGACAUGUUAUACACAGUGUUAUACACAUGUUAGACAUUAUACAGUAUAAAGUCAACGUGUAUAAUGUCACACUUACCUAUAAUUUAGCAAUACUGCUUUACCCUAACUCUAACCCCUUUACCCUAACUCCCUUUACCCUAACUCUAACCCCUUUACCCUAACUCUAACCUCUUACCCUAACCCUUUACCCUAACCCUGGCCCCCUAACCUGUUACCCUAACCCUAACUUUACCCUAUAACCCUAUCCGUAAGCCUUUAUAUACCCCUUAUGCUAACAUGUACUAACGUUAUACCCUAACAUAUAAUUUAACUAACCCUUACCCAUAAUUAUUAUAUCCUUAUACCUAACCUCUUAUACCCCUAUAACCCCUAUAACCACCCAUAAUCCCGACAUUAUUCACAUUAUACGCGUGUUAUACAUACACAAUUAAAUGUACCUGUAGCCAAACACUCUAUAUCCGUAACACCAACACAUCCCAACUGGGACCUCGCAAAUUUGACAUUAUGCAUAUUAUGCAUAUUAUACACAAUUAUUUGACAUUAUAUUAAAUAUAAAAUAAGACGUUAUGCAUAUUAUGCAUAAUAUACACCACUUACUAAUAUGUGACAUUAUGCACAUUAUGCAUAAUUAUAACAAUUAUACAUCAAGUAUAAAAUGCAUAAUAUCAUAAUACGUAUGAAUGUGACAUUAUGCACAUUAUACAUUUUUAUAUCAACAUUAUUAUUAUGUUACAUGUAUAAUGUGGGCAUGUUAUGCCAGAACUACAAUCUGACAAAUUAAUCCUAAAUGCAGCAUUUUAGCUAUAUAUAAGAUGAUCCAAUUAAGUUAUUUUGAAAUAAUUAUCGUGCUUGCAGUGGUGUAUUUUGCUGACUUGCAGGUAGAAUGCUCUUUGACAUUGUAAGGAGACCUUCUGCUCGGUUCCUGAAUGUAGAUAGUAAGAGUAUGAUCAUCUAACACAAUCUGGUGUCUGUAUAAAGGGUCUACCAUGUUCGAUGUGACACUGGGGUUCAAUUAUGGGAUGCAUACACUAAUUAAAAUAUAAACACCCUCCCGCCAGAUGGUAAGCAAUGAGCAAUUCAUUUGAUAUUUGAUAUAUGAACUACUUAGGCUUAGUACUUUCUGAAAACCAUAUGCAAGACUUGCAAAUUCAACAACAUUACAAGUAAAUUAUCAAAAUGCUUGACCUACUAUAUGCUGCUAGCCUUGAAAUACCUACCUGUGAGAAUCUUUGCUCGGUUUAAGUUUAUAUGUGAUGUAUAUGCCCUCAGUUAAUUCAGUAAUCUAUCCAGUGCAUGCAAAAGUUAGUAUGAUAGUUGAUCAGAUUGUUCAAAAAUGACACUUAUUAGAGCCUGCUAUGACCUUUGAACUUUCAGGCAAAUUUUGUAAAUUAAAGAGCACCACUGCAAGAAAAAUAGUAACGGAAACUGGGAUUUAAAGGUGCAGCUGUAUUGCUAUCAUGUACUAGAGUAUACAGCAGAAGUUUAAGACUGAUUCUUUCACUUUUAUUUUUCCCAUUGCGGACCCUAAUUACGUGGGCCAGAUAGGCGUUUCCAAUCCCUUUCUGUUUGUUUAUCUAUGGUAUAACAUGCAUAAAUAACCAAUCCUGCACACUUAUGCCCCUCUCUGUUCAAUUACCCCUCCCUCCACGUACUUACUGCGCAGCAACCAGCCAGAAAAAACAACACAGCUAGCUCUAGACGGUGUCUAGACCAGCUCUCUUCAGCUAUGCCAGGCUAGUAGGCAAGCAAAGAAGCUGAACAGGCCUAGUGCAGUGCGUUGCAGUACUAGUGCUAGUGAGCAAGGCUCAGCCUGAGCCCUAGCCCUCUCCAAGAGUGUCUCUAAAGCAGCUCCUUCUGCAAGCACACAGCAGAAUUUUUGAUGAACUAGUCUACAGACUACACCCUCUGCUCUAUGUUUUCAUUUAUGACAUUUUGUUUCUCAUGCAAGACAUUUUCAUUCAUCGAAAACACCAUUAAUUUAUUUUUAAUGCA